rnacentral:rRNA from 1 species
ACGCUGGCGGCACGCCUUAUACAUGCAAGUCGAACGAAGUAGUAAUACUUAGUGGCAGACGGGUGAGUAACAUGUAGGUAUCUUCCCUUUGGUGAGGAAUAACACGAGGAAACUUGUGCUAAUACCUCAUAAGUCUUUACGGAGAAAGCUUUAUGCGCCGAAGGAUGAGCCUGCACUUGAUUAGUUUGUUGGUGGGGUAAUGGCUUACCAAGACUUUGAUCAAUAGCUGAUCUGAGAGGAUGAUCAGCCACAUUGGGACUGAGACACGGCCCAAACUCCUACGGGAGGCAGCAGUAGGGAAUAUUGCACAAUGGAGGAAACUCUGAUGCAGCGAUGCCGCGUGAGUGAAGAAGGCCUUUGGGUUGUAAAGCUCUUUCAUCGGGGAAGAAAAUGACUGUACCCGAAUAAGAAGGUCCGGCUAACUUCGUGCCAGCAGCCGCGGUAAUACGAAGGGACCUAGCGUAGUUCGGAAUUACUGGGCUUAAAGAGUUCGUAGGUUGUUAAAAAAGUUGGUGGUGAAAUCCCAGAGCUUAACUCUGGAACUGCCAUCAAAACUUUUUAGCUAGAGUAUGAUAGAGGAAAGUAGAAUUUCUAGUGUAGAGGUGAAAUUCGUAGAUAUUAGAAAGAAUACCAAUUGCGAAGGCAGCUUUCUGGAUCAUUACUGACACUGAGGAACGAAAGCAUGGGUAGCGAAGAGGAUUAGAUACCCUCGUAGUCCAUGCCGUAAACGAUGUGUGUUAGACGUUGGAAAUUUAUUUUCAGUGUCGCAGCGAAAGCAUUAAACACACCGCCUGGGGAGUACGACCGCA